GAAUUCGCCCUUAGAGUUUGAUCCUGGCUCAGGACGAACGCUGGCGGCGCGCCUAACACAUGCAAGUCGAACGAGCGAGAGAGAGCUUGCUUUCUCGAGCGAGUGGCGAACGGGUGAGUAACGCGUGAGGAACCUGCCUCAAAGAGGGGGACAACAGUUGGAAACGACUGCUAAUACCGCAUAAGCCCACGGGUCGGCAUCGACCAGAGGGAAAAGGAGCAAUCCGCUUUGAGAUGGCCUCGCGUCCGAUUAGCUAGUUGGUGAGGUAACGGCCCACCAAGGCGACGAUCGGUAGCCGGACUGAGAGGUUGAACGGCCACAUUGGGACUGAGACACGGCCCAGACUCCUACGGGAGGCAGCAGUGGGGAAUAUUGCACAAUGGGGGAAACCCUGAUGCAGCGACGCCGCGUGGAGGAAGAAGGUCUUCGGAUUGUAAACUCCUGUUGUUGGGGAAGAUAAUGACGGUACCCAACAAGGAAGUGACGGCUAACUAUGUGCCAGCAGCCGCGGUAAAACGUAGGUCACAAGCGUUGUCCGGAAUUACUGGGUGUAAAGGGAGCGCAGGCGGGAAGACAAGUUGGAAGUGAAAUCUAUGGGCUCAACCCAUAAACUGCUUUCAAAACUGUUUUUCUUGAGUAGUGCAGAGGUAGGCGGAAUUCCCGGUGUAGCGGUGGAAUGCGUAGAUAUCGGGAGGAACACCAGUGGCGAAGGCGGCCUACUGGGCACCAACUGACGCUGAGGCUCGAAAGUGUGGGUAGCAAACAGGAUUAGAUACCCUGGUAGUCCACACCGUAAACGAUGAUUACUAGGUGUUGGAGGAUUGACCCCUUCAGUGCCGCAGUUAACACAAUAAGUAAUCCACCUGGGGAGUACGACCGCAAGGUUGAAACUCAAAGGAAUUGACGGGGGCCCGCACAAGCAGUGGAGUAUGUGGUUUAAUUCGACGCAACGCGAAGAACCUUACCAAGUCUUGACAUCCCUUGACAGACAUAGAAAUAUGUAAUCUCUUCGGAGCAAGGAGACAGGUGGUGCAUGGUUGUCGUCAGCUCGUGUCGUGAGAUGUUGGGUUAAGUCCCGCAACGAGCGCAACCCCCGUCCCGUGUUGCCAGCAUUGAGUUGGGGACUCGCGGGAGACUGCCGGCGUCAAGCCGGAGGAAGGUGGGGACGACGUCAAGUCAUCAUGCCCCUUAUGCCCUGGGCUGCACACGUGCUACAAUGGCCGGUACAGAGGGUUGCCACCCCGCGAGGGGGAGCGGAUCCCGGAAAGCCGGUCCCAGUUCGGAUCGCAGGCUGCAACCCGCCUGCGUGAAGUCGGAGUUGCUAGUAAUCGCGGAUCAGCAUGCCGCGGUGAAUACGUUCCCGGGCCUUGCACUCACCGCCCGUCA
rnacentral:rRNA from 1 species